AGUCUCCCCAUUGUUAACAGGUCACCUUUACAUUGCUGCUUCCUCGUCCCUUAAUUAACCAGGUUGGUUUCCUUCUUCAUAAACUCAUGAAGAGUUUUCUGUGUUUAAGAAAGAAAUAUUUCCUUUGCCAAUUUUCAAGUAUUUUUAAAGUUUUUUCAUGUAAAGAUAUAUACAUAUAUGGGUAGGUAGAGAUAGAUAGAUAGAUAGAUAGAUAGAUAGAUAGAUGGUUUUUAGUUUCCAGAACAUUAGCAGUUAUUUGUAAAAUAAAAGUCUAAAAUAACUAAAAAUAACUCAUUUGGCUUUCUUUUUUUUUUCUCUGAGACAGGGUAUCAUGUAUCACAGGCUGCUCUUGAACAUCAGCAGUAGCAAGAAUGGCCUUGAGCUUCUAAUCCUACUUUCUUCCUCGCUUGUGCUGACAUGACAGUUGUGGGUCACCAUACCUGAUUUAUGUGGGCCUGGGAGUAAAAUCCAGGGCUUUGUGCAUGGUAGCCAGGCUUUCCACCAACUGAGCUACAUCUAAGCCCUCAUUUAGUCAAUGGAAAAUAUUAACUGUAGAGGCCCACUCCCAUGUCAGUCUUUCAUUUCCAAUAUCCAAUCUCAGAUUGUCCAUCUUAGAUUUAAAUGUUCUUUGAACACACACAGAAGAUGGAAAAAGAGGACGUGCUGAUUGAAGCAGAGAUUCAGAUAAUGCCCACCAGUACCCAAAAGUACAAUGGGCUCUAGAAAUUAAAAAAUUAGAGACAGACUCUCUCCCUUAGGCCUCUGAAUGGUACAAACCUAGCCAGCACCCUGGUGUAACACUUCAAUAUUCAAUUUAGACAUCCAACUGUGUAAGAUAAUAAAACUAUUGUUUUAAAUCCAAUUUGAGAUGAUUUAUUACAACAACAACAGGGACCUGAUAGAAUCCAGCAAUGGCAAUAAUAAUUGAUAGGAUAUGUCUGCUAAGCUGUUCAGAGAAUGACCACAUAUAAUUAUGGGAGGCUGAUAUUAAUAUCAUCUGGUUUUGCCAUAAGACAAGUUGUCACAGGCACUAAGCAAUUCACAACACUAGAGAUUGUGUGAGUUACAAAAGUACUUGUGGAUGCAAGGCUCCUACUGAGCAAUCCAGUAUCCAAUCCAUGCCUUUGGCUGCCAUUUUUAGCAUAACCCUCGAUCUCUGCUUCUCCACUGCCAGUUCAUGUUUAUCUAUCUCUCAGAUUCUUGACAAUAAGCUUAGGGUCUUGUUGGUCUAGGAGGUAAUAAUUUCAUAUGAGAUUUCAAACUGUAGCCAUUAAUUAAGCAGACAUUUAAAGAGCAACCAUUAUAUGCCAGACAGCCUACUACCCAUACAGGUGACUAAGAUAAGUGCAGUUCCAUUAGUGGGAAAGCUGAGAGUCACAGCAACAAUAAGACCUUUUUAGGACUUAUUACAUUUCUGCUUUAUACUCAGUCUUAGUGCUUUUUGUUUUCUGCUUUUUUUCUGAAUGCAUUACAGUUGCUGGGUCACCACAAAUGCAGGGCAUGUCACUCAGCCAUGUCUGUACUGCUAUCUGAAGCAGAGGAGGAGGGCUGUUUUAAAAAGAUGAACAGCAAACACACAAUGCAAUAUCCCCCUGUAUUAUGGACAUUAAGAAUUCUGUAUUUAAGCAUUCUUUUCAGGUGAUGAAACCUCUUUUAAUUUUCAUUUCCUUCACUCCCUGGAAAGCAAAAUGAAUUAAGUAACAACUCCAUGUUUUUACACAUGACAGAAAGCUUAAAAUGCAGCUUUGGGGAGCGCAGAAAGAAUUUAAAAUGAGGUAGUACUGAGUUCAAGAAACAGAUUUACUCACAAUCAGGGAAAAAAAAAACCCAAAAGAAUGCCUUCUGAAAAAAAAUUCUCCUUUUGAUUUCAUUCUAAUGAUUUCAUGAGACAGAUGUUUCAGAGUCAUGUUCAAUAAAAACAAAAGGUUUCAUUGCCAACUAUUAGAGAUAAAAAUUUAAAAAUAAUUACAUAAAUAUAUUGCAUUUGGAUUUUCCAGCGAGUUAGAGCUCACUUCAUUCAUCUGAGUCUCUUGACUCUGUUCCUACAGAAACUAAAUGAUUUUUUUUUUUUUUUGCAAUUUACCAUUGUUCUCCUUUUAAUUAAGCGUGGAUAUGUAAUGCAGCAGCAGGCAGAAUUUAUUCCAUAAUAUUAAUUCGGCAGCUGCACAAACACAAAACACUUUCUAUUAGAUAAACACAAACCAUGCUGUAUGGCCUACGAGGUGAGGUUAUAUAGAACCCUCUAGGGAUUCUGGGGUGUGAUUUCCUGACUGGGUUCUGGAAAGAUUGUUGUUGUUUUCUUUAAGUUAAAAGGCUACUCUAGCCUCCUACACCUUAAUCCUUGCAACUGAAAAAUCAAGCUCUGUGGAGUUCUUCUCAGCACAGUUUGUACAGGUUUCUGUGGGUGCCCACUGCUGAUGUUCUAUUCCAUUGUACUCUAGAUGGAGGCAGUAUCAGCCACAAAGGCGAAUUCCCCUUACCUGUCAAUGGUCAUCAAGAGUGCCUGGAGGAAACUUUCAAAAGGCUCUUGGGUAACAAGUAGCUUGUUCCCAAAUUCAGAUCUAACAUAUUUCUUAUUUUCUCUUUUUCUUUGCUGGAUGGCAAGUGCCAUGUCAGGCAGACUUGCUUCAGCUAAUUCUCCAAGGACUUCAUAAAGAGUUUUGGGUUUUUGAAUCACUACU
rnacentral:lncRNA from 1 species